UACGGAGGGUGCAAGCGUUAUCCGGAUUCACCGGGUUUAAAGGGUGCGUAGGUGGGCAGUUAAGUCAGUGGUGAAAUCUCCGGGCUUAACCCGGAAACUGCCAUUGAUACUAUCUGUCUUGAAUACCGUGGAGGUGAGCGGAAUAUGUCAUGUAGCGGUGAAAUGCUUAGAUAUGAUAUAGAACACCAAUUGCGAAGGCAGCUCACUACACGAAUAUUGACACUGAGGCACGAAAGCGUGGGGAUCAAACAGG
rnacentral:rRNA from 1 species